AUUCCUGUGGUUUUAUGUGUCUUAAGUGCGGGGUGGUUGAUUGUUCC
rnacentral:tRNA from 1 species